ACGCUAGCGGCAGGCCUAAUACAUGCAAGUCGAACGAUAUUAAGGGGCUUGCUCCUUAAGAAAGUGGCGCACGGGUGCGUAACGCGUAUGCAACCUACCUUAAUCAGGGGGAUAGCCCGAAGAAAUUCGGAUUAACACCGCAUAAAAACACAGGAUAGCAUUAUCCAAUGUUCAAAUAUUUAUAGGAUUAAGAUGGGCAUGCGUGUCAUUAGCUAGUUGGCGGGGUAACGGCCCACCAAGGCGACGAUGACUAGGGGAUCUGAGAGGAUGACCCCCCACACUGGUACUGAGACACGGACCAGACUCCUACGGGAGGCAGCAGUAAGGAAUAUUGGUCAAUGGAGGCAACUCUGAACCAGCCAUGCCGCGUGCAGGAAGACUGCCCUAUGGGUUGUAAACUGCUUUUAUCCGGGAAUAAACCUUUCUACGUGUAGAGAGCUGAAUGUACCGGAAGAAUAAGGAUCGGCUAACUCCGUGCCAGCAGCCGCGGUAAUACGGAGGAUCCAAGCGUUAUCCGGAUUUAUUGGGUUUAAAGGGUGCGUAGGCGGCCUGUUAAGUCAGAGGUGAAAGACGGUAGCUCAACUAUCGCAGUGCCUUUGAUACUGAUGGGCUUGAAUGAACUAGAGGUAGGCGGAAUGAGACAAGUAGCGGUGAAAUGCAUAGAUAUGUCUCAGAACACCGAUUGCGAAGGCAGCUUACUAUGGUUUUAUUGACGCUGAGGCACGAAAGCGUGGGGAUCAAACAGGAUUAGAUACCCUGGUAGUCCACGCCCUAAACGAUGAAUACUCGCUGUUAGCGAUAUACAGUUAGCGGCUAAGCGAAAGCGUUAAGUAUUCCACCUGGGGAGUACGCUCGCAAGAGUGAAACUCAAAGGAAUUGACGGGGGCCCGCACAAGCGGAGGAGCAUGUGGUUUAAUUCGAUGAUACGCGAGGAACCUUACCCGGGCUUGAAAGUUAGUGAAUUAUUCAGAGAUGAAUAAG
rnacentral:rRNA from 1 species